UUAAAUCACAGAUAAAACAGAAUAUCAUUUUGAUAAACAUGCUUAGGAUCUGUGCUGCAUUUUUUAAAUUCUGCAUUUCUCUAAACAGACACACUGUGUAUAUUAGUUUUCUACUGACAGCAAGUAUCAUAAAUGGAGAUGAAGUAACACAAGAAUCGAGUAAAACUGCAUAUGAAGAGGGAGAUGCAGUUCUUCUCUGUAAUUUCACAACAACAGCAGCUGCAGUAACACAACUGUACUUCUACUGGUAUCAGCAGAAAGCAAAUGGACAUUUAGAAUAUUUACGUCUUCAGGUAUAUAAAUCUAAACCUGAUGCAAAAGAAGGUCGCUUCACAUCACACUUUGAUGCAUCCAAGAAUUUUGUGUAUCUGAAUAUUUCUGGGGCCCAGCUCUCUGACUCGGCAGUUUACUAUUGUGCGAUGAGUGACACAGUGUUGAUAUGUUCACUAAUGUGA